UUUGCGGGGCUACCGUCGAAAGCCUCCCUCACUCCCUCCUCGAUCUCUCUCCCUCAGCUGCCACAAACUUUAGGUCCCUUUCCUAUGAUCCCGUGGUCGCUGCCCCUGCUCCAUCCGACCUCCCUCGUUAGUCGCCGCCGCCGCCGCUACGGCUCCUCCAUCCACCGACUCUGUCCGUGCAGGUGGCCAGUUUCCUUCCGCCCCAACCUUCUCCACUGUCUCCCCAGUUCAUCCUCCGUCCCUUGCUGCUCGAGAUUCUCAUCUGCUCAGGCCGCGAGGAAGCCACGUGAGGAGGAGAAACCUUGUCUCGAGAAGCCGCGGGAGGAGGGGCUCAACCAGAGAGGAGCAGAUGCCAGCCAGGUAGUCGGCUCGGCCCGAUGUCGUCCUUCAUGUCUGGGUCGUGGCAGACCCUAGCGCCGUCCUUCAGGUGUCUUCACAGCUGCAGGAGUAUAUGCACUACAAGCUAAAGGCGCGCAAUCUGUAUAUUUUGUUCCAAUAAAGAAACCCGGACCAUAUAGAAUGAUCCAAUGAUAGGAUCCUGCUGUGUUCUAAUGAAUAGAUUUUUCAAAGGAUCUGUUUAAAGAUAACAGGCAUAUAUUUUUACAGAGAUCAUAUUAUUUUGAUGCCCAUAAGAAGUUGGUGGUUCAUGGAGACCCAAGGUGCAAUGACAGAAGAUAUCAGAGGAGCAGAGGAAAAUGCAAGUGUGUAUGUGUGAAAAAUUAUUGCUUUAACUCAAGAUCAACUCCUCGUUCUUUCAAGCGCUAUGUUGCUUACUCAAAUGUUUGUGGCGAUUGUAUCCUUGUGCCAUGAAUAUUUGUACUUAGAAGAUCAAUAUAAACAUAUUGGCUAUCUAUUUACCAAUUCAGAAUUUAAAGCACUUUAUUUUAUGGCCUCGAGUAAAAGUUCAGUCGUUGUUGGCUGGAAGACAUCUUCAACACGCCAUCAACACGAGCUUCCCAAGAAAGAAGAUUUUGUCGAUGAUGUAAGAUAUCCACAUGUUGUAUAUGUGGAAAAACCAAAGGCUCAGGAUGUUAAUUUUUUGGAUGAAAUGAUUUAUCAGGCAAAAACUACAAGUGAAUUGGAAGAAGUAACGCUCAAAAGCCGAAAUAUAAUUCCUUGGGAAAGGGUAGAUGUUAGCUUCAAGAGAAGUAGACAAUGGAUUUUUUCCCAUAGCACCAUUCAGGUCCAGUUGUCGUUGCCUUCACUUGCUUUGUCGUUUACCGAUCUGUCAGCUCGCUGGUUCCCUGUCUUGCUGUCAAGGUUUGUGUUCUGUGCCUCCAUUUUCUGUUUUCUUUCUUUUUGUUUCUCUAUAUUACUUACUAUUUUAUUCUGCUACCUGACUGGGUGUUGCGCGCGUGCUUUAUUUGUUUGUUUUGGUUUCUUAUGCUGCUUAUUUCAUUUAUACUGCUUCAUGUGCUAGGAUGUGCCUUGCUAUGUCUUUUGUGAUCCCAAUUUUUUAGACCCUGGCGGCGCAGUUUGUUUGCCCGCUCUUUCAUGCGUGUGGGAGAUUAUUGACGAUGGGGUUGUGCUUGUUGGGGUGGAGCCAAAACAGUGUCUCCCUGCCGCCAGAUAGGAUGUUCUUCUGGGCAACUGGCAGUACGGGGGCAUUGUCCGCCUAUGAACAGGCUGCUUUGCAAGCUAUAAAAUUCUUACAGGUACGAUGUAAAUCAUGUUGCUGUUGAUUAGGAUGAUUCAUAUACAACUUGGGUCUAUUUUUUAGCCUGAUUAGGGGAGAGAGAGAGAGAGAGAGGCAGGGAGGUGCCUAGGACGAGUAGGAAGGCUCUGGGCAAAAUUUUGCCGAUCCUGUGUAUGUUCUGUUUUGCCCAGUUAAACGUGUAAACUUCAUGUCAUAUAGCAUAAUAAUAGCAUAUGAUAAACUAUCGUUGUAAUAUUAUUGAACUUGAUAUCUUGUUUGAACUAGAUAGAUAGUUUUGACAAGAUUUUAUCCUGGCGUAAACAUGUUGUCAUAGUGUCAACACAAUAAUAAUAGAAAAACCUUUUCAAAAUUCAGGUGAGGUGAAGCAAGCAAGCACCUCCCCGUGUUUUAUAUGUAAGCAAUCACCUCCCCGUGUUUCUUUGCCCGACCAUUGUUCGUUUAAACCUUUCUUCUGUAUUAGCGCUACUGGAUAACCGUUAUUGAUCUACCAAAAAGGAAUCAUAACACUACAGGUCAUGGAAAAUAGAUAUAAUUAGCACAUAAUCCUGCAAGUUUCACCUAAUAUGCACAUGUUGUUUCAGUUUUCCAAAAUAUAUACCAUUGAGAAACUAACUGCAUGUAGUGUAGAUUCUAGGAUAUUAACAUUUGCAGCCAUAUGUUGGUUUCAAUGGUGACGGAUUUUUGCCAAUCCCACAGAGAUAAUUUAAUUCAAGACUAGCAAAUACAUUGAGAUCAAGGAGAGAGCGAGCCAUUGCAGAGGAGAGGGGAUAUGAGGGUGGGAGGAGGUCAGGCAUUGCUAACAGAUUUGCGGCAGAGUGGGAGAGGUGACGCCGGCCGGCGCCUCACCACCGGCUCCUGUUUGGCGGUGGCAAAGAGAAGGGUGCCGAGGAUGUGUUGCUCUAUGCAUGGCUGUCGAAGUACAUCAUCAUUAUGAUGUGUGUGGUUUUCUCUAUUUUCAGCCCUACUGCUCCUGAGCCCAAAUCCCAUGACCAUGCCCCCACCUGUCCUUCGUUAAAAGAAGGGAGUCUAGUUGCUAAAAAGUGAGUUUUCUUAAUCAGUAUGUAUGGCCCCUCUACACAUGUCAUUUCUUCGUAUUUAAGAGGCCCUCAAGCUUUGUCAGAUUUCUAACAGAUAUGGGAUUUUAAUUUGAUAGUCCCAACAACGGUGGGUACUGAUGGAGCUAUCUAUUAUUUAUUGUCAAUCUGUAAUACUUUUGUCAGCUUCUAGCAUGGCGUUGCUCUGCCAGAGUGUAACUUUCUCUGCAUGGCAUACACCAGUUACCAUUAGUUGAUAUGUUUGUUGAAGUUUUAUUCCAAGUUAAAUAAAUGUGUAGUGUGGCAUACUGAUUAUUAUA